rnacentral:rRNA from 1 species
GACAGAGGGGGCAAGCGUUGCUCGGAAUCACUGGGCGUAAAGGGCGCGUAGGCGGGAUGGCAAGUCAGUCGUGAAAUCUCUCGGCUCAACCGAGAAACGUCGGCUGAUACUGCCGUUCUUGAGGGAUGCAGAGGAGACUGGAAUUCCCGGUGUAGCGGUGAAAUGUGUAGAGAUCGGGAGGAACACCGGUGGCGAAGGCGGGUCUCUGGACAGUUCCUGACGCUGAGGGACGAAAGCUAGGGGAGCAAACGGG